UGGCAGGAAAGACAUAAUUUU
rnacentral:miRNA from 1 species